rnacentral:rRNA from 1 species
CAUGUGAAUGAUGAAGGUCUAUUUGAUUGUAAAGUUCUUUUAUCGGGGAAAAUGAUGAUUGUACCCGGUGAAUAAGUGACAGCAAACUAUGUGCCAGCAGCUGCGGUAAUACAUAGGUCGCGAGCGUUAUUCGGAUUUAUUGGGCGUAAAGCGAGCGCAGGCGGACAAAUAAGUUCUGUGUUAAAAGCAGCUGCUCAACAGUUGUGUGCGCCGAAUACUGUUUGUCUAGAAUACGGUAGGAAGUUUUGGAAUUGAAUGUGUAGCGGUGGAAUGUGUAGAUAUAUUCAAGAACACCAGUGGCGAAGGCGAAAACUUAGGCCGUUAUUGACGCUUAGGCUCGAAAGUGUGGGGAGCAAAUGGGAUUAGAUACCCCAGUAGUCCACACCGUAAACGAUGGGUAUUAGAUUUCGGGGCUUGGGCUUCGGAGUUGCAGCUUACGUGUUAAAUACCCCGCCUGAGUAGUACGUAUGCAAAUAUGAAACUCAAAGGAAUUGACGGGGACCUGAACAAGUGGUGGAACAUGUUGCUUAAUUCGACAAUACACGAAAAACCUUACCAAGAUUUGACAUCCCCCGCUAAGUCCUAGAAAUAGGAUGGAGGUUAUCGGGGUGACAGGUGGUGCAUGGCUGUCGUCAGCUCGUGUCAUGAGAUGUUUGGUUAAGUCCCAAAACGAGCGCAACCCUACCCUUUAGUUAGUUGUCUAAAGGUACUGAACAGUAAUGUAUAGGAAGGUCGGGAUCACGUCAAGUCAUCAUGCCCCUUAUAUCUUGGGCCGCAAACGUGUUACAAUGGCAUGUACAAAGUGUUGCAAACCAGCGAUGGUAAGCCAAUCACAAAAAGCAUGUCUCAGUCCGGAUAAAAGGCUGCAAUUCGCCUUUUUGAAGUUGGAAUCACUAG